AUUGAACGCUGGCGGCAGGCCUAACACAUGCAAGUCGAACGAGUGGCGGACGUGUUAGUAAUGUCUGGGAAACUGCCUGAUGGAGGGGGAUAACUACUGGAAACGGUAGCUACUACCGCCUACCAUCAGCUGUGCCCAGAUGGGAUUAGCUAGUUGGUGGGGUAAAGGCUCACCAAGGCGACUAUCCCUAGCUGGUCUGAGAGGAGGAACAGACACACUGGAACUGAGACACGGUCCAGACUCCUACGGGAGGCAGCAGUGGGGAAUAUUGCACAAGGGGCGCAAGCCUGAUUCAGCCAUGCCGCGUGUAUGAAGAAGGCCUUCGGGUUGUAAAGUACUUUCAGCGGGGAGGCGUUACCCGCAGAAGAAGCACCGACUAACUCCGUGCCAGCAGCCGCGGUAAUAC
rnacentral:rRNA from 1 species